AUUGAACGCUGGCGGCAGGCCUAACACAUGCAAGUCGAGCGGGGUUUUCGGACCUAGCGGCGGACGGGUGAGUAAUGCGUAGGAAGCUACCCGACAGAGGGGGAUACCAGUUGGAAACGACUGUUAAUACCGCAUAAUGUCUACGGACCAAAGUGUGGGACCUUCGGGCCACAUGCUGUCGGAUGCGCCUACGUGGGAUUAGCUAGUUGGUGAGGUAAUGGCUCACCAAGGCGACGAUCCCUAGCUGGUUUGAGAGGAUGAUCAGCCACACUGGAACUGAGACACGGUCCAGACUCCUACGGGAGGCAGCAGUGGGGAAUAUUGGACAAUGGGCGGCAAGCCUGAUCCAGCCAUGCCGCGUGUGUGAAGAAGGCC
rnacentral:rRNA from 1 species